GGAUAUAAAGACAACCUGGCUACAGCACCCAUUACCCCAUUGAUUGCCAGGGUUGAUUCAACUGAUCUGACUAGACAGAUGGUCUCUUCCUCCUUUACCAACCCAUGCACAUCUCUCCUGAUGCUAUGUGCUUGAUCAAAGAAGAUGACUUUCCCCAAAAUAGAGACAGACUCAUUUUUGGUGAACAUAUAGGAGUAGCUGCACUCCACUGAUAGAAACUUUAAACAAGCUCUCAGUAGUCACAUAUUUUUUAGGCUGUCUCUGUCCCAACAUAAGAUCAAUCAUUGAGAAUGUUCCAA
rnacentral:snRNA from 1 species